rnacentral:misc_RNA from 1 species
CGCAUCAUCAAGCCAAACCACAAUAUAAGGCAAGCAACAAGUAACCUCAAGUAACAAGUAACUAACCUCACGGCAACAAGGCAAAUGGCAUCAACACCAUGCGCUUCAAUGACCAACCAAGCCACCAAACUCACGCAAGACAACAAGCUUCUAACACAAGGCAAGCAAGUCACACGGCAACCUCACAAUGAACACAAUGCGCAACAAUGGACAAG